GCAAAAAUGGAUUCUACAACACCACCGCAGGCCAAAACCCAAACACAGUUUAUGGCCUUUUUCUUUGCCGCGGUGACUUAAGCACACAAGUCUGCCAAGAUUGUGUCACCUUUGCUACCCGAGACAUCGUUCAACGAUGUCCUGUGGAAAAAGUUGCCUUCAUUUGGUACGAUGAGUGCCUUCUGCGUUACUCAAAUCGGUCCAUCUUCUCCAUAAUCGAACAAAAUCCGAUGCGAGCAUUGUAUAAUACGCAGAAUAUAACCCAACAGGAUCGUUUCAACGAGCUAGUAGCAGAAACCAUGAAAGAUGCAACUGCUAAGGCAGCCAGCGCUAUUUCAGGUGCUAAAAAGUUUGGAACAGAAGUUGCUAAUUUCACGAGCUUUCAGACACUUUACAGCCUCGUGCAAUGCACACCAGACCUAUCUGAGGCUGAUUGCAAUAGGUGUUUAAGGCAAGCUAUUGCGUAUCUUCCUGCCUGUUGCAGUGGAAAGCAAGGAGCGCAGGUUCUAACUCCUAGCUGCAGCACUAGAUAUGAAUUGUAUCCGUUUUAUAACUUGACGGAGGUAGCAGCUCCACCUCCUUCACAUCUGUUUCUUUCUCCGCCUCCACCUCCUCUAAUAGGACCUAAAGAUAAAAGCCAUAACCCAUCGGCAAUAAUCAUCGCUAUUGUUGCUCCAAUUGCUGUGUCCGUUUUGCUUUUCGUAUUAGGAUGCUGUUUCCUAAGUCGAAGGGCAAGAAAGAAGCAGAACUUGACCAUAGAAGAAGAAAAUGAUGGAGAUGAAAUUAUGACUGUAGAAUCCUUACAAUAUGACUUAGCUACCAUAGAAGCUGCCACUAGCAUGUUCACUGAGGAUAACAAGUUAGGCGCAGGUGGAUUUGGUGACGUUUACAAGGGUACACUUCCUAAUGGACAAGAAAUAGCUGUGAAGCGGUUAUCAAGAAGCUCUGGGCAAAGCACAGAAGAAUUUAAGAAUGAGGUUAUACUGAUAGCCAAGCUUCAACACAGAAAUC
rnacentral:misc_RNA from 1 species